rnacentral:tRNA from 1 species
GGCGGCGUAGCUCAGUUGGUAAGAGCGCUCGACUCAUAAUCGAGAGGUCGGCAGUUCAAGUCUGCCCGCCGCUACCA